GUAGGUGAACCUGCGGAAGGAUCAUUAAGAUAUAUCCAAACCUACUCAACCAAGCCAAUUUGUUGCAGGGCGAAAGCCUCGCAGCUAACACCUAACCAAAAGAAGUAUAACCAAGCUUCAACCUAAAACCAAAUCCUCAACGAUGGAUAUCUAGGUUCCUACUACGAUGAAGAACGCAGCGAAGUGCGAUAAGCAAUGCGAAUUGCAGAGCCGAGAGUCAUCAGAUUUUUGAACGUAACUGACACCGGAGGGCACUCUCUUCGGUAUGCUUCUUUCAGUGUGUGAUUCUCUCAUCACCCAAACCUUAAUGCGAUAGAUGCCCUUCUAUUGCUAAGCUCGAAAGCACUCUGUACCCUGCAGCGGAGGUCUCACGACUGACGCACUCAAUGCAGUAGUCACAUUCUCAAAUGUGAACUCAUUGAGCGUAGAGUCAGCGCAUGCUUGCAUGCCAGUGCUUGGACACCCAAAUUUUAAUAGCAUCUGAGAUGAAGUAGGACCACCCGCUGAACUUAAGCAUAUCAGUA
rnacentral:rRNA from 1 species